GGUUAAGCGACUAAGCGUACACGGUGGAUGCCCUGGCAGUCAGAGGCGAUGAAGGACGUGCUAAUCUGCGAAAAGCGCCGGCGAGGUGAUAUGAACCCUUGACCCGGCGAUGUCCGAAUGGGGAAACCCAGUGCAAUCCGUUGCACUAUCGUUAACUGAAUACAUAGGUUAACGAGGCGAACCGGGGGAACUGAAACAUCUAAGUACCCCGAGGAAAAGAAAUCAACCGAGAUUCCCCCAGUAGCGGCGAGCGAACGGGGAGCAGCCCGGAGUCUGAAUCAGCUUGUGUGUUAGUGGAACGGUCUGGAAAGUCCGACGGUACAGGGUGAUAGUCCCGUACACGAAAGCACACUUGCUGUGAACUCGAAGAGUAGGGCGGGACACGUGGUAUCCUGUCUGAAUAUGGGGGGACCAUCCUCCAAGGCUAAAUACUCCUGACUGACCGAUAGUGAACCAGUACCGUGAGGGAAAGGCGAAAAGAACCCCGGCGAGGGGAGUGAAAAAGAACCUGAAACCGUGUACGUACAAGCAGUGGGAGCCUCUUUAUGGGGUGACUGCGUACCUUUUGUAUAAUGGGUCAGCGACUUAUAUUCUGUAGCAAGGUUAACCGUAUAGGGGAGCCGAAGGGAAACCGAGUCUUAACUGGGCGUUAAGUUGCAGGGUAUAGACCCGAAACCCGGUGAUCUAGCCAUGGGCAGGUUGAAGGUUGGGUAACACUAACUGGAGGACCGAACCGACUAAUGUUGAAAAAUUAGCGGAUGACCUGUGGCUGGGGGUGAAAGGCCAAUCAAACCGGGAGAUAGCUGGUUCUCCCCGAAAGCUAUUUAGGUAGCGCCUCGUGAACUCAUCUUCGGGGGUAGAGCACUGUUUCGGCUAGGGGGCCAUCCCGGCUUACCAACCCGAUGCAAACUACGAAUACCGAAGAAUGUUAUCACGGGAGACACACGGCGGGUGCUAACGUCCGUCGUGAAGAGGGAAACAACCCAGACCGCCAGCUAAGGUCCCAAAGUCAUGGUUAAGUGGGAAACGAUGUGGGAAGGCACAGACAGCCAGGAUGUUGGCUUAGAAGCAGCCAUCAUUUAAAGAAAGCGUAAUAGCUCACUGGUCGAGUCGGCCUGCGCGGAAGAUGUAACGGGGCUAAACCAUGCACCGAAGCUGCGGCAGCGACACUAUGUGUUGUUGGGUAGGGGAGCGUUCUGUAAGCCGUUGAAGGUGUGCUGUGAGGCAUGCUGGAGGUAUCAGAAGUGCGAAUGCUGACAUAAGUAACGAUAAAGCGGGUGAAAAGCCCGCUCGCCGGAAGACCAAGGGUUCCUGUCCAACGUUAAUCGGGGCAGGGUGAGUCGACCCCUAAGGCGAGGCCGAAAGGCGUAGUCGAUGGGAAACAGGUUAAUAUUCCUGUACUUGGUGUUACUGCGAAGGGGGGACGGAGAAGGCUAUGUCAGCCGGGCGACGGUUGUCCCGGUUUAAGCAUGUAGGCGGAGGUUCCAGGUAAAUCCGGUACCUUUUAACGCUGAGGUGUGAUGACGAGGCACUACGGUGCUGAAGUGAUAAAUGCCCUGCUUCCAGGAAAAGCCUCUAAGCAUCAGGUAACACGAAAUCGUACCCCAAACCGACACAGGUGGUCAGGUAGAGAAUACCAAGGCGCUUGAGAGAACUCGGGUGAAGGAACUAGGCAAAAUGGUGCCGUAACUUCGGGAGAAGGCACGCUGAUGUGUAGGUGAAGCCCCUGCGGGCGGAGCUGAAAUCAGUCGAAGAUACCAGCUGGCUGCAACUGUUUAUUAAAAACACAGCACUGUGCAAACACGAAAGUGGACGUAUACGGUGUGACGCCUGCCCGGUGCCGGAAGGUUAAUUGAUGGGGUUAGCGGCAACGCGAAGCUCUUGAUCGAAGCCCCGGUAAACGGCGGCCGUAACUAUAACGGUCCUAAGGUAGCGAAAUUCCUUGUCGGGUAAGUUCCGACCUGCACGAAUGGCGUAAUGAUGGCCAGGCUGUCUCCACCCGAGACUCAGUGAAAUUGAACUCGCUGUGAAGAUGCAGUGUACCCGCGGCAAGACGGAAAGACCCCGUGAACCUUUACUAUAGCUUGACACUGAACACUGGUCCUUGAUGUGUAGGAUAGGUGGGAGGCUUUGAAGCGUGGACGCCAGUCUGCGUGGAGCCAACCUUGAAAUACCACCCUUUAAUGGCUGGUGUUCUAACGUGGACCCGUAAUCCGGGUUGCGGACAGUGUCUGGUGGGUAGUUUGACUGGGGCGGUCUCCUCCCAAAGAGUAACGGAGGAGCACGAAGGUUGGCUAAUCCUGGUCGGACAUCAGGAGGUUAGUGCAAUGGCAUAAGCCAGCUUGACUGCGAGCGUGACGGCGCGAGCAGGUGCGAAAGCAGGUCAUAGUGAUCCGGUGGUUCUGAAUGGAAGGGCCAUCGCUCAACGGAUAAAAGGUACUCCGGGGAUAACAGGCUGAUACCGCCCAAGAGUUCAUAUCGACGGCGGUGUUUGGCACCUCGAUGUCGGCUCAUCACAUCCUGGGGCUGAAGUAGGUCCCAAGGGUAUGGCUGUUCGCCAUUUAAAGUGGUACGCGAGCUGGGUUUAGAACGUCGUGAGACAGUUCGGUCCCUAUCUGCCGUGGGCGCUGGAGAAUUGAGGGGGGCUGCUCCUAGUACGAGAGGACCGGAGUGGACGCAUCACUGGUGUUCGGGUUGUCAUGCCAAUGGCACUGCCCGGUAGCUAAAUGCGGAAGAGAUAAGUGCUGAAAGCAUCUAAGCACGAAACUUGCCCCGAGAUGAGUUCUCCCUGAGACUUUAAGUCUCCUGAAGGAACGUUGAAGACGACGACGUUGAUAGGUCGGGUGUGUAAGCGCAGCGAUGCGUUGAGCUAACCGAUACUAAUGAACCGUGAGGCUUAACCUU
rnacentral:rRNA from 1 species